rnacentral:rRNA from 1 species
AGUGAACGCUGGCGGUAGGCCUAACACAUGCCAGUCGAACGGCAGCACAGUAAGAGCUUGCUCUUACGGGUGGCGAGUGGCGGACGGGUGAGGAAUACAUCGGAAUCUACUUUUUCGUGGGGGAUAACGUAGGGAAACUUACGCUAAUACCGCAUACGACCUACGGGUGAAAGCAGGGGAUCUUCGGACCUUGCGCGAUUGAAUGGGCCGAUGUCGGAUUAGCUAGUUGGCGGGGUAAAGGCCCACCAAGGCGACGAUCCGUAGCUGGUCUGAGAGGAUGGUCAGCCACACUGGAACUGAGACACGGUCCAGACUCCUACGGGAGGCAGCAGUGGGGAAUAUUGGACAAUGGGCGCAAGCCUGAUCCAGCCAUACCGCGUGGGUGAAGAAGGCCUUCGGGUUGUAAAGCCCUUUUGUUGGGAAAGAAAAGCAGCAGGUUAAUACCCCGCUGUUCUGACGGUACCCAAAGAAUAAGCACCGGCUAACUUCGUG